rnacentral:rRNA from 1 species
UACGAAGGGGGCUAGCGUUGCUCGGAAUCACUGGGCGUAAAGGGUGCGUAGGCGGGUCUUUAAGUCAGGGGUGAAAUCCUGGAGCUCAACUCCAGAACUGCCUUUGAUACUGAAGAUCUUGAGUUCGGGAGAGGUGAGUGGAACUGCGAGUGUAGAGGUGAAAUUCGUAGAUAUUCGCAAGAACACCAGUGGCGAAGGCGACUUACUGGACACAUAUCGACGCUGAGGUGCGAAAGCGUGGGGAGCA